rnacentral:sRNA from 1 species
GAGUGUGGUGGUGCAUGCCUGUAAGCCCAGCUACUUGGAAACCUGAGGAAGAAGGAUGGCAAGUUUGAGACCAAAUUUAGCAAGAACCAGUUUCAAACUAAAAAAUAAAAAGGGCUGGGGAUAUAGCUCAGUGGUAGAGUGCCCCUUGGGCUCAAUUCCAGUAUGGGGAUGGCAGAUGUAUGGGGAUGUAUACUCUUCCCUGUCACCCCCAGUAGUGGGGAUUGAACCCAGAAGCACUCUACCACUGAGCUAUAUCCCCAGCCCUUUUUAUUUUUUGUUUU